rnacentral:rRNA from 1 species
GACGAACGCUGGCGGCGUGCUUAACACAUGCAAGUCGAACGGAAAGGCCCCUUUGGGGGUGCUCGAGUGGCGAACGGGUGAGUAACACGUGGGUGAUCUGCCCUGCACUUUGGGAUAAGCCUGGGAAACUGGGUCUAAUACCGGAUAGGACUACGGGCUGCAUGGUCUGUGGUGGAAAGCUUUUGCGGUGUGGGAUGGGCCCGCGGCCUAUCAGCUUGUUGGUGGGGUGAUGGCCUACCAAGGCGACGACGGGUAGCCGGCCUGAGAGGGUGUCCGGCCACACUGGGACUGAGAUACGGCCCAGACUCCUACGGGAGGCAGCAGUGGGGAAUAUUGCACAAUGGGCGCAAGCCUGAUGCAGCGACGCCGCGUGAGGGAUGACGGCCUUCGGGUUGUAAACCUCUUUCAGCAUCGACGAAGCGCAAGUGACGGUAGAUGCAGAAGAAGCACCGGCCAACUACGUGCCAGCCGCCGCGGUAA